GGGCGCUGCGCUUGACGUCGUGACCAAUCACAGGCCACGUCGCGCCGCCGCAGCCAAUCGGAAAAACCGGGGCAUUAAGACGAGCACUUGACGGCUCCUCCCUCUCUGUUCGAGGGUGGUUAGUGGCUUUAGUUGUUGAUGGCCUCGUUUUCCUCCUGUUUCAACCCCAUCUGGUUACAUCCGAUGCCAUCGGGGUUCUUGUGAGACAGAGCUUGAGAAUGCGAAGCGAAGAGGCAAGGGCAAAAUUGAGGCGAAUCCGGGGCAUGCGGAUAGGUUUCCGGUGUGAGCUCAGAAAGUGACUGGAGGAUAUGGCUGGGGGAAGAGAUGGGAGAGGAAUAAACGCGGUGCCCUAGAAUAUUGAAGACAAAAUUGGGACCAAAAUAAAUUAUUUACUGAGAGGCAUAUCAUUUCCUUGCGUUUUAUUUGGUAGUUCCUUGAUGUGGAGAUAAUAAUAUAGGAGCUGUUGGUAUGGUUGGCCUGAGAUAAGUGACCCCGGAGGAGCUUGAAUGAGAGUGAAUAUGAGGAUACGUCGGCUUUUAAUUCAACGAAACCUUUUCUACAAGACCCUUUGUCACUAUGGGGGAAUUAAAAAGGAAAUAAGCAGGCAAGAGUGAUUCCAACAUUUCCAAGCCAGAUUGCUUCUUUUUCCCUUUUUUGUUUACUUAGUCCAGAUUCCUGCCAAAAAGGAAUUAAUAUUUUGGAGAUGUUGGCAAAAGAUUCCUGGGCCUUGGAAGAUAAUUACUCCAAAUAUACAGGGGAGUGGGAGGAGGGUGAAGCGAAGAGACACCAGUUUUCCAGACUCUGACUUGGCAAGCCUCAGUUCCUUGAUGACUGUUGGCUAAAGACCAGUUCUUCACCAUGUGAACAUAGGCUGCCUGAGUAUCCGCACAACAUGACAACUGGCUUCCACCAGAGGGAAUGAUCCAAGAGAGAAAUGCCAAGACAACAUGGAGGUGGAGGUGGCUAGAGAAGACUAUAGAUAUAAGUACUCCUGGUAUUUUGCUUGGGAUGCAGACUGACUUAGGUUGAAAUUUCUGUUUCCAGUUUUUGAAGGAACAUAGUCCAAUUAUUUAAAGGCACUUAUGCAAAUAUUUGACAUAAGAUGGAAUAAAGGUAUAAAUAUGCAGCAGCAGCUUUAGGCACUUUGUGUCCUUUUCCUCAAAAGCUUGAUAUUUAUCCACUAUGGAAUGAAAUUGAGGGUUUUUCAUAAAGAACAUCAUUUUGUCAGAUUGAUAAAAAAUGUGAACGUUUAUUUAGUAAGGUAAGAGGUUUAUUAAUUUGUUAAUUUUGACGAACAGAGAAAAUCAGGUAUCAGCAAACAAUAUGUGAGCAUAAUGUGAGUAUCAUACUCGAAUUUUUUCCCCUUAUUUCACCUUUGAAAGAUAAUAUAAUUUUCUAAAUCAAUAGGUUUGAUUCAGGAUUGGCAAUUGGGUGGCUGGGGUCAGGACUUUUAACUUUGAUGAUCAUCUUUUCUCAAAAACAAUAAUGUAAUUCAUCCCCUGAAAUUCUUAGAGAUCAUAUAUUCCAGGGUUUAAAUUUGCUGAACUUUUAGAUGUUCUAUAAAUGACUCUUUGAUAUGCCAAUGAAUGACCAUCCUGUAACUUAAGCUUUAUUCAAGAACAGUAGAUAAGUAGGUAGUCAAAAGCUGGAAAUCUCAAAUCUAAUACCAGAUUAAUCUGUCGGUAUGCAUGUUGUCUUGGGGUGUUUCAAAUCUGAGGAAUGUAAAGGAGAAAAAUUUUUGCAAAUACUCAAAAUUGAUUCACACACAUUCUCUGUUUCAUAAAUUUCUACAAACAAAAGUUGAUGUAAACUUUGCUUAUAUGCCUUAAUGAAAAGAUGUACAAAAUAAGUGCAUUCAAAAACAAAACUAAAACAUUAAUGGGAUGGAUGCUAUUGUUACAGAAGUAAACAUAGUGCUUGCUGGCUGGUAUGGAAUAAGUUGUAAACACAUCCAGUCUUGUGCCUUGUGAUGACUGAAGCUUAACAGCCUGGACAACAGUAGAUUUGUCCAGAACUUUACUUUUUUGCAGACCUCAAGAUUACUGAAAUGAGGGGAGGGGGCCUAAAUUCUCAAAAGGAUGUCUUUGGACUGUCUGCAAAUCAUAAUAUGAAGAAUUAUGUAUUACUUUGUCUCCAAACAUUUUUCCAGCUCCAAUGAGUAAUUCAGUCUGGAACUAACAGUUCUUUGAGAAAACCUUCGGUUUUUAUUUUGAUCUACAGUUAUGUUUGACUAGUAGUUAAACUGGGUUAAAAGUUGACUUAUUUUGUGAACUAAUACAGGUUUUUCUUUUUAGAUACAGGUAGUCCUUACUUUGCAUCAUUCCAAUAUAUGUGAAGAUCAGUUUUCACAGUUUAGUUAAAUAACACCAAUUCCCCUACAACAUGGUUGAAAUUUCAGUUACCACGAUAGUAACCAAAUUGUUUCAUAAGCUUUGCUGGUAGCUCUUUAUUCCACAAAUGAUUAUGGAUAUAAAAGAUUGUCAGUAACCACUUAUAUCACUUCUUUCAAAAGUCUGUUGGUGAUUGAUCACUGAACAUCUAUUAGUUCACACACAGAGUAGAGCAUGUAGUUGUGUUGCCUACUUGUUUUCCAGUGAUAAACCCCCCGACAUUUUACAAAAAUGGAUAAUCAAGAGGAAAUUGGUCAACAAAGAUGACAGGGCAGCAAAGAAAAAGUGGUAACACUGGAAGUGAAAUUGGACGUCAUUAGAAGAUUUGAAAAUGGUGACAGCAUAGUGAAGACAAGAUGAGACCUAGGCUGACAUGAACCUAUAGUAUGAACCAUCUUUUAAAAGUUCAGUGAAACUUUUAGGUAAAGUUGCUUCAACAUUUUUUAGUUUAAAUUGUACUAGGAACAGAAAGCCGUGUAUGGUUGAAAUGGAAUGUUUACUUCUACUUGGGACUGAGGACUCUAAUAAAAAACAAAUCCCAAUCAGUUUGGCUAGCAUUCAAGCCAUAGUGUUGAGGUUAGUUGCUGCACUGAAGGAAAAUGCUUAACUACAAGGAGACUGAAAAAGAACAUUUUACUGCUAAUAAAGGCUGGUUUCGUCGUUGGCAAAGUCGGCAUGAAUUGAUUAAUUUUCCACUAUCUGGUGAAGCUGCAAGCUCAGAUAAGGAUGCUACUGUGAAAUUUGCACAUUAUUCUAAGAAUCACAGGUAGUCCUUGCUUUGCACAUUAGAAGACUACUGUGUAAAAACAUCACAGGGUUUGGCUGUAAUGUAAAUGGAGUUCUAGAAGAUACAGAUGACUGGGAAUGUUAACACUGCUGCGAUUCAAGAAGUAGUUCUAGAUAUACAGCCAGGAGAAUUUAGUGAAGGUGAACAUAGUUAUAAAGGAGGAAAGCAGUUGUGUGUUGUAAAGGAUGAAUACGUUUCAGAGGAAGUGAUGCAGGUGAAAAACCACAUUAAAGGAACUCUCAGAUAUUUCAUGACGUUGAAUGCGUAAAGAAUAAAAUUUUAGAAGCAGAUCCAAACUCAGGAGUAUGACAAUUUGCGAAGGUGAAGAAAAGAUUCUUGCUCCGUAUUGUAAAUUAUAUGAGAGAGCAAGCACUAUUCAAACUACUGUUGAGACUUUUCUGUAAAUAAAACGCUAUAAUUUUC